CCUACGGGUGGCAGCAGUCGGGAAUAUUGCGCAAUGGAGGAAACUCUGAUGCAGCGACGCCGCGUAUAGGAAGAAGGUUUUCGGAUUGUAAACUACUGUCGUCAGGGAAGAUAAUAGACUGAACCGAAGGAGGAAGCCCCGCUUAAUUAUGUGCCAGAAGCCGCGGUAAUACGUAGGGGGUAAGCGUUAUCCGGAAUAAUUGGGUGUAAAGGGUGCGUAGACGGAAGAACAAGUUGGUUGUGAAAUCCCUCGGCUCAACCGAGGAACUGCAACCAAAACUAUUCUCCUUGAGUGUCGGAGAGGAAAGUGGAAUUCCUAGUGUAGCGGUGAAAUGCGUAGAUAUUAGGAGGAACACCAGUGGCGAAGGCGACUUUCUGGACGAUAACUGACGUUGAGGCACGAAAGUGUGGGGAGCAAACAGGAUUAGAUACCCUAGUAGUC
rnacentral:rRNA from 1 species